rnacentral:rRNA from 1 species
UACGAAGGGGGCUAGCGUUGUUCGGAAUUACUGGGCGUAAAGCGCGCGUAGGCGGAUCGCUAAGUCAGGGGUGAAAUGCCGAGGCUCAACCUCGGAACUGCCUUUGAUACUGACGAUCUGGAGAUCGGGAGAGGUUGGUGGAAUUCCGAGUGUAGAGGUGAAAUUCGUAGAUAUCGGGAGGAAUACCAGUGGCGAAGGCGGCGACCUGGGCCAAUACUGACGCUGAGGUGCGAAAGCGUGGGGAGCGAACAGG